GGAGAAGUCCGUGACAUCGUUUCCAGAGAGGUUUCACUGAGAAGGGAAGACCCACCCUGAACGUGGGUAGCACCACCUCAUAGCCAGAUCCAAACUAAGAGGAAGUGAGCUGAGGCCUGGCAUGCAGGUCUCUUCGGUUCCUGACUGGGGACAAAGCUAGCUGAGCAGUCUCCACUCCUGCUGCUGUGUGGACGGGCCAUACCUGCGAUCUGAGAGCAGAACUGGACCCAUCCUUCCUUCCCUAAGCUGCUUCUUGUCAGGGAAUAGCAAGACAGAGCAUCUGCAAGCCAGGAACCCAACUGUCCACACAGAAGCCUUGACAGUGGCUGCCUGAACCUGGGUUGGCUCCUGGACUUUCUAGUUUGGUUCACAACUUCCUGUCCAGGAAGGUGAAGGGAGAGACCAG
rnacentral:lncRNA from 1 species